GUUGCGGUGGCCGAGUGGUUAAGGCGUUGGACUAGAAAUCCAAUGGGAUCUUCCCGCGCAGGUUCGAAUCCUGCUAGCAACG
rnacentral:tRNA from 2 species